GGUGAUAUAGCUCAGUUGGUAGAGUGCUUGCCUUGCAUGCACAAAGCCCUGGGUUCCAUCCCCAGCACCA
rnacentral:tRNA from 1 species